AGAAGUUAACUUAACCUAUGGAUGGGCAUAACCUCGGGAAACUGAGAAUAAUACCCAAUGGACCACAGUGCCUGGAAUGGCCUGUGGUUGAAAUGAUUUAUCGCCGUAGGAUAGGACUGCGGCCUAUCAGCUUGUUGGUGAGGUAAUGGCCCACCAAGGCUAUAACAGGUACGGGCUCUGAGAGGAGGGGCCCGGAGAUGGGUACUGAGACACGGACCCAGGCCCUAUGGGGCGCAGCAGGCGAGAAACCUUUGCAAUGUGCGAAAGCACGACAAGGUUAAUCCGGGUGUCUCCUGCUAAAGGAGUCUUUUGUCAGUUGUAGAAUCACUGGUGAAUAAGGGGUGGGCAAGUUCUGGUGUCAGCCGCCGCGGUAACACCAGCACCUCGAGUGGUCCGGAGGUUCAUUGGGCCUAAAGCAUCCGUAGCCGGUUGCAUAAGUCUUCGGUUAAAUCUAUGCGCUUUACG
rnacentral:rRNA from 1 species